GUUGCCUUUUAACCAUACAACUCAAUCUAAUUUGCUGUUGAAUCUGCAGGUAAGAGUUGCAGGAUAAAGUAAUCUCUAAAAGCUGAAGGCAGGGUUUUUGAAAACUUGAGCCAACCGUUGCAAAAGGAAUAAAAGAAGCCUUCAAACGGCAGAUUUCCAUCCUUUCAUGAUCAAGGGAAGAUACAAAAUGGUGAUGAUUUGAUCACUGGAUUUAAUUCUGGCCUUGAAAUGUUGAAAUGUCACAGACCCAUUUGGCCACUUCCAAGCUUGCAAGCAUUAGCCAUGGAUUUAGAGGUAAGAGACAAAGAUGACUUUUGGGUAUUGUGGAGGAGACUCAGCUCUUGGAUGUGGUCCAAAUAGAGAGUAAUCUGAUAGUACUUAUUUCUUAAUGCUUUUAACGUGUUUGAAAUUUAGAAUAUCUCCCAGUCCAGUAAAUCUCUGGAGAAAUCUAGAUUAAUUUAAGAACGUGUGAAGACAUGGCAUUAGACGAGAUUUCUCAGCUCAAGCUUCAAUUAUUUAUCUGGUA